GACGAACGCUGGCGGCGUGCCUAAUACAUGCAAGUCGAACGCUUCUUUCCUCCCGAGUGCUUGCACUCCAUUGGAAAGAGGAGUGGCGGACGGGUGAGUAACACGCGGGUAACCUACCCAUCAGAGGGGGAUAACACUUGGAAACAGGUGCUAAUACCGCAUAACAGUUUAUGCCGCAUGGCAUAAGAGUGAAAGGCGCUUUCGGGUGUCGCUGAUGGAUGGACCCGCGGUGCAUUAGCUAGUUGGUGAGGUAACGGCUCACCAAGGCCACGAUGCAUAGACGACCUGAGAUGGUGAUCCGCCACACUGGGACUGAGACGCGGACCAGACUCCUAGGGGAGGCAGCAGUAGGGAAUCGUCAGCAAUGGACGAAAGUCUGACCCAGCAACGCCGCGUGAGUGAAGAAGUUUGUCGGAUCGUAAACCUCUGUUAGAGAAGAACAAGGACGUUAGUAACUGAACGUCCCCUGACGGUAUCUAACCAGAAAGCCACGGCUAACUACGUG
rnacentral:rRNA from 1 species